rnacentral:rRNA from 1 species
AACGAACGCUGGCGGCAGGCCUAACACAUGCAAGUCGAGCGGACCCUUCGGGGUUAGCGGCGGACGGGUGAGUAACGCGUGGGAACGUGCCCUUUGCUUCGGAAUAGCCCUGGGAAACUGGGACUAAUACCGGAUACGCCCUUUUGGGGAAAGAUUUAUCGGCGAAGGAUCGGCCCGCGUUGGAUUAGGUAGUUGGUGGGGUAAUGGCCUACCAAGCCGACGAUCCAUAGCUGGUUUGAGAGGAUGAUCAGCCACACUGGGACUGAGACACGGCCCAGACUCCUACGGGAGGCAGCAGUGGGGAAUCUUAGACAAUGGGGGAAACCCUGAUCUAGCCAUGCCGCGUGAGCGAUGAAGGCCUUAGGGUUGUAAAGCUCUUUCACCGGGGAAGAUAAUGACGGUACCCGGAGAAGAAGCCCCGGCUAACUCCGUG